rnacentral:tRNA from 2 species
GUGGUUUUAGCUCAGUUGGUUAGAGCGCCUGAUUGUGGUUCAGGAGGUCGUGGGUUCGAGCCCCAUAUUCCACCCCA